rnacentral:rRNA from 1 species
GGGAGUACGGUCGCAAGAUUAAAACUCAAAGGAAUUGACGGGGGACCGCACAAGCAGCGGAGCAUGUGGUUUAAUUCGACGCAACGCGAAGAACCUUACCUGGGCUUGACAUGUUGGUGACCGCCGUGGAAACACGGUUUUCCUUCGGGACACCAUCACAGGUGGUGCAUGGCUGUCGUCAGCUCGUGUCGCGAGAUGUUGGGUUAAGUCCCGCAACGAGCGCAACCCUUGUCCCUAGUUGCCAUCAUUCAGUUGGGAACUCUAGGGAGACCGCCGGUGACAAACCGGAGGAAGGUGGGGAUGACGUCAAGUCAUCAUGGCCCUCAUGACCAGGGCUACACACGUGCUACAAUGGCCGGUACAGAGGGCUGGCAACCCGCAAGGGGGAGCCAAUGGCAAAAAGCCGGUCGUAGUCCGGAUCGGAGUCUGCAACUCGACUCCGUGAAGUCGGAAUCGUUAGUAAUCGCGAAUCAGCAACGUCGCGGUGAAUACGUUCCCGGGUCUUGUACACACCGCCCGUCACACCAUGGAAGUUGGUUGCACCAGAAGUCGGUAGCUUAAC